CCCUUUUGGGUGUGACUGCGUACCUUUUGUAUAAUGGGUCAGCGACUUAUAUUCUGUAGCAAGGUUAACCGCAUAGGGGAGCCGGAGGGAAACCGAGUCUUAAUUGGGCGUUAAGUUGCAGGGUAUAGACCCGAAACCCGGUGAUCUAGCCAUGGGCAGGUUGAAGGUUGGGUAACACUAACUGGAGGACCGAACCGACUAAUGUUGAAAAAUUAGCGGAUGACCUGUGGCUGGGGGUGAAAGGCCAAUCAAACCGGGAGAUAGCUGGUUCUCCCCGAAAGCUAUUUAGGUAGCGCCUCGUGAAUUCAUCUCCGGGGGUAGAGCACUGUUUCGGCUAGGGGGCCAUCCCGGCUUACCAACCCGAUGCAAACUGCGAAUACCGGAGAAUGUUAUCACGGGAGACACACGGCGGGUGCUAACGUCCGUCGUGAAGAGGGAAACAACCCAGACCGCCAGCUAAGGUCCCAAAGUCAUGGUUAAGUGGGAAACGAUGUGGGAAGGCCCAGACAGCCAGGAUGUUGGCUUAGAAGCAGCCAUCAUUUAAAGAAAGCGUAAUAGCUCACUGGUCGAGUCGGCCUGCGCGGAAGAUGUAACGGGGCUAAACCAUGCACCGAAGCUGCGGCAGCGACGCUUAUGCGUUGUUGGGUAGGGGAGCGUUCUGUAAGCCUGCGAAGGUGGCCUGUGAGGGUUGCUGGAGGUAUCAGAAGUGCGAAUGCUGACAUAAGUAACGAUAAAGCGGGUGAAAAGCCCGCUCGCCGGAAGACCAAGGGUUCCUGUCCAACGUUAAUCGGGGCAGGGUGAGUCGACCCCUAAGGCGAGGCCGAAAGGCGUAGUCGAUGGGAAACGGGUUAAUAUUCCCGUACUUGGUGUUACUGCGAAGGGGGGACGGAGAAGGCUAUGUUGGCCGGGCGACGGUUGUCCCGGUUUAAGCGUGUAGGUGUGUGUUCCAGGUAAAUCCGGUUCACUUUAACACUGAGGCGUGACGACGAGGCACUACGGUGCUGAAGCAACAAAUGCCCUGCUUCCAGGAAAAGCCUCUAAGCAUCAGGUAACAUCAAAUCGUACCCCAAACCGACACAGGUGGUCAGGUAGAGAAUACCAAGGCGCUUGAGAGAACUCGGGUGAAGGAACUAGGCAAAAUGGUGCCGUAACUUCGGGAGAAGGCACGCUGACAC
rnacentral:rRNA from 1 species